GCCAUCCUCCACCCCAUAAUAUCCUGGGUAACCCAGUAAAACUCCGCCCCCCAACAAGAUCACUUUACUACAACAGCCUUGAAGGAGAUCUGAGAAGCAAAACUGUUUUACACUGGCAACGAAAAGCUUUUGAGUGGCAGAGAGAGAGAGUGAGUCAGUGGAGGGACCUGGGGAACGGUGAAAAAGUCCAAGAGACUUGGAAGCUGCUGGUGAGAAGAGGAAAGAGGCAGCAGACCUGGUGGCUAAGAGAAGAUAGAUCCCAGCUCUAGUUAAUAGAUGCAGGAACCGGAUGGCAGUUGGAGUGGAAUUUCAAUUCAGAAAGGAUGAAGGCAACAGCUUCCUCCAGCCUCAUCUGGAAUAUGUGCUGCCACCAGGACACAAAGGUGCUGCUUUGAGCAGAUGCUAUGCCGCAAGGCAACACUGAACAUUUGUAAUUGGAUUCCAUCCCUGGAGUUAAUUAUAAAGAGACAAUAAAAACUGCUUGGCUUCUAUUUGAGUAACUAUUAUUUUGUGUUAAAAUUCUUUGUUUGAAGGGGUAGAUAUUUGUAGUUUUAAUUUAACGUGAAACCUUUGUACAUAUUAUAUCUGUGCGUUUAUACAUAGAUGUUACACAGAUAUAUAGACGCAUUUUAUAUAUAUAUGUAAAUGUAUUAGUGUGAGUGUGUGUGAGAGAGAGAGAUAUUAAAAAAUCAAUAAAAUAUACAUAUCACACACACAAAAAAUAUGUAUAUAUACACUCAGAGCCGUACCUAUAUAUAAUAUGAUAUGAGGCAGGAAGACAGAUUUCUCUGCCCUUCUUGGAGACUAGAUUUCCCUAGUCAAGAAUUUAGCUUCAUUAGCCAACAGAUAACUCUGCCCUUUAGACUCUGAUGAGCACAUUCUCCCACCCGACCCCACAUGACUUUAUUAAUGGAUUAGGGGCCCCAGAAUGGCUCAGUAGCUGAGACACUCUGAACCCAUAAGUAGUAGAGUUUGGUGUUCCUGAGUGUUCCGUAAAGCUGUUUUAAUGAAUGCAUAGCUACACGAGGUAACAAUGGCCGCGCCGGAACAAUUCUGCAUUGGCAGGGGAGAGAGCAGGGCCUAGGUCAGGGAGGUGCAUAAGCAUGUACCCCUCUUUAAGCAUAUGCAAAGUCCCAUUGACCUCAGGGUGCGCACCUGGUUAAAUAUCUUGCUGGACUGUGGUCUAGAUCAGUUUUCCACCAGUUACAGCAUUCUGUAGCGUAAGCGGUACGUGAGAUGGUCUCAUAGCUCCCAUCUUUUAAGGAACCAGGGACUAGAACGCUGGUCUGCAAAGCCUGGGCUGGCUGGUAUUCCCAUAGUACCACCAGGGAGCACUAUGGAGAGUAGGCACUGCAGGAAGCGCUGCCCAAGAGACUCAGAAUGACUGAGCCCUGCGGCCCUCUGAUUAGCCACGUCCCCUAUUUAACCCCAGAGGUUGGCCCAGGAAGUUGGCUGGGCAGCCACAUAGAGUUUAGUCUAUCUAUUGCCAUGCCUGACUUUGCUUGAUCUCUGAUUUCUGACCCCAGCCUGACUCUGACCCUGAUUCCUGCCUCUCGAGCCUAACCUGGUACUGCCUCUGGCCUCUGACUCCAGCCUGACUCUUGCUUACAUAACCUGGCUCUUGCAAUUCCUCCAGCUCCUGCCUGGUGACUACUGUCUCUUGUGGCCAGACCUUAGCCCAGCUGUGACUGCUAAACCAGACCACUUACGCCCUGGUCCAUUACACCAUUUUAGCUCCCCCAUGAUGUGAGACACACUGAGCUAGGGGACCUGAUGGGUCGUUGUCAUUUCCAUAUCGCUGAUAAUUUAUUCUCAAAAGCCUAAGCAUGCACAUUCCCUCUUUUGAAAAUAGACUUGAAAGCUGAAAUGAAAAAUGAACAGAAUAAAUGGAUUCUCUCUGCUUUCAAAAUAAUCCAUGUGAAUUAUUUCUAAUGAUGCUGUCUUGGAAGAACGUUAGUAUUUCCUGGGUGAAACAUUUCUCAUGAAGCAGCUGAAUGAUGCAUUCUUGUGUCAGAAAACUAUUUGCAAAUGCAUCAAUAUCCUUGUGUGACCAUGAGAGCUGGAGUAGAAGCUCAGUGCUAGACACUCCAGAAGUGGUGGUUUUUCUCCAUGUCCCUUCAUGAUCAGUGCUACGUGUUUUCUCCUGGUAUCUAUGAGAAAAAUUUUAUCCAUGAUAACAUGCCAGUCAUCAGUUCUAGGAAUUCACCAUAACAGAUCACACACUACAGUUCACAUGAGCAUAAUAUCCUGCUUCCAAUACCUCAUGCUUUAAAGAAAGAUGAAAACCUUACAGGGUGUACCUGGCCAAUUGUGCAAAUAUAUAUAUUAUGGGGAGAGGAGUAAAUGUCCUCUCUGAUCCUCAGGGCAAUCAGCUUAUACAUGAAGGCUCAAUCCUGCAAGGUGCUGAGCAUUCUGGCCCUGAUCCAUCAAUGCCCGUAAACAUGUGCUUAGCUCUAAGCAUGUGGGUAAUAUCUCUGACAUUAAGGAAGUGCUUGAAUGCUUUGUUGGGUCUUGGCCAGAAUACACAGCACCUUGCAGGACUGAGUCCUGAAGCAAGAGAUCUAAAUUCCCCUAUCCUAUGAUUAGAAAUAUUAUUAAUGAUCAGAAAAUUAUUAUAGUCUCUGUGCAGUAAACAGAGAACACAAUGCCAUCAUAUACUACCAGGCGCUAUUGCCAGUGUGUUCAAUGCGUCCCAAAUGCUGAGUCAGUCUGGGACUUUUUGUAUGGAAUAUAAUAUAAAUAGUCAUAUUCUACUAAUGUCACAUUGGCUUGGGGAGGGUAGUUCACUCAUUACAUCUGAAGGGGGUUACUUACUGGCCAACAAGCUAAAUCCAUUAUUAGGGGAAUAAAAAUUCUGCUUGUGAAUCUUUCUCUCCACAGGAGAAAGAAACUCGGAAGUUUUGUACCUCCUCCCCAAGUAGUUGUAGAAUAUAUUUCGCUGUCUUUCACCAGGAGCUCUCAUUACAUUUAAAUUACAAAUGCAUUAGCCAUCUAUACAUAUUAACACAAAAGAAUAUUUAUUGGAAUAAAAGGCAAUAGAUUUUUUGAGUUAUCUUUCUCAGUUUUAAACAGCUGUCUGAUUAUAUCCAAUUACAUGUCACACUUAAGCUAAGUGUUUGUAGAAAAAGAAAGAUGUUGGAAUUUAAAACAAUGUCAGAUCAAAAUUAAUGCCAUGGUUGUGUUUGAUAAUUAAAAAAAUGCCACCUCCAUUAGCUUGUCUUGAUAAGCAGGCAGGCAGACAAAUGGAUGUUCAGAAACCUUUCUGCUAUUCCAGUGACUGUUUGAAACUAAUAAGCAAGGGUUGCAUCAGUAUGUUCAGAAGGUAAAAUGAAAGCAAGACCAAUGCAAAUGAAGAUGAGGAAUGCAUGGAGUCAUGGAUAAGAAAACUAAAAAUUAGGGACUAGAGAGUAAACAAGAAACCAUGCUGCUGCUAUUUCAUAAAGAAAAUAAACCUGUGUAUUAAAAUUGCCAAGUGCAGCCAUCAAAACUAAGCAAAUAGUUUCUGAGACAGUUUGCGUUGAUUCAGACAUGGAGGGUAAGGGCUGGUGUUGGUGCAAGGAAGUGGAGAUGAAAUUUGCCAAACGGAGCCAUGAUUACUGGGCCAGAGACCUAAGCACUGCAAGAUGCUAACAGAUCAGCAGUAAUUUUGUUCACCUCUCCUAGAUUUUUUUGGGGUACAGUUCCCUCUUUUUAUCCACUAUUUGUAGCAAUGGCUCACUCUUUCUGUCUGGGCUUGUCCCUCAGUCUGGCUGCUGUCAGGCACAACAGGACCCUCCACAACCCACAUCCCCUCUCAAUAUACAUAAGGAUCCCCAUCCAGUAAUCCGCUUCCAUCACUAAUUUGUAAACACCUCUCCCACAACUCAGACCUGUACACUGCAAUCACAUAUAUCCCACACACUGCACCUUCACUACCAACCUGCACUCAGUCACACGUGCACGGCCUGCACCCGCGUGCAAACCCAAACCCUCCUUCACCAAAGAAUUCAAAGCUACAUACCAUAAAAAUGUAUUGGUGCGUGGACCGCAAAGCAGCACGGUCUUUUGUUGAGACUCAAGACUGUAGUGAGAUCCUCCAUUAGUGUAAAUUAUCAUAGCUCCACUGGCUUCAACAGAGCUAUGACACUCUUUGGGCUACUCACAUGUUUAUGACAAUUUGCACCUGCUGAGGAUCUGUCCUCUAGUCGGUGAGUUAAUGCUCACAUCGGUGCUUAAACUAUUAUGGUGUCAGUUGUCGGAAGACAACGCAUUCUUGAAAUACCAGCUUUGUAGCUGGAAUUAUGGAUUGUUGUAUUGGAACAAGGACAAUUUGGUAGCAGCAUGCCAGAGGCCAGAUUGCUGGAGGCUAAACUGUACAGUACAGGAUUUUAUAGAUGAGGUCACAGCCUUAUCCAUAUUUUACAAGCACUCUCAAAUAGCACUUUAGCCUUUGACAGGCCUGGGUACAUAGCUCACAGGAGAAUGGUACUGGGGAGUGAGAGGCAUCUGCUCUGUCGAGGGAGGGUGCUAUAUCGUCCACCUGUAACUGUGUCCAUCUUUACUGGGGUCACUCUAGCAAAACUGGCUUUAAGGAUGCUGUCAAAGGGAGAUUAAAAAGCUCAGAGGAGGUGGUGAGGAGGAAAGACUAGAAAGGAAGUAGAAAUUGGAAAGGGAAAAAUGUUCUUUCCCAUGAGCUUUGGGCUCAGGAGUUCCCUUGGGGUGAAAUCGAAAGGAACAAUUGAUUCCUGAAGUUGCCCUUUUAGUGACUCCCUCGAAAGGGAAAGCAUGAGGAAUCUGUGCAGCCAGCUAGCUUGCUGAGUUAGACAUGAAAGGCUGACAGGGCGAGGCUUUAAGCAACAGCACGAUCUGCAUUUUAGAUUAACUUUACUAAGCAUUGUUUGACUUUGCCAGUGCAGCUGAUGCCCUGUGAAGUGCAUGCCAUGUAAAAUGUAAUUCUUAUUAAGUAUAGUUUCUGCUGUUCAUAUAAAGCUUUAUCUAGCUUUGAGGGAAACAAGACAAACUGACCUGCCAAAGGAUCAUAUUGUCUCACUAAUGUGAUAUAUUUGCUUUGGCUUCACAUAGGAGUGGAAUAUGGCUGCCUAUUAGCAAAACACUAAAACAGGCAGCCAAGAUGCCAUAUACCUGUAUAAAACAAUAUCCUGAUCAGAUGCAGCACCCAACUUUUUGCUGUUAUCUGCUGUGUGUGGUGUUUAGAGCUUUGACGGCCCCUGUCAGAUUUUUCAUCUUUAAUCUCCCUCUAAAUUAAAAACAAGCUAAGUCCCUUUUGGAGAUGUUACAGAAAACCACGUUUCCUUUUUAUGCUUCCUUAAAGAGCUCCAUUUUUCUGUCUCUUCUCAUCAGCCAGAGUAAUUUUAGGCUGUUAGAGAAAGUUCAUCGCUGUAAUUGCAACCAUAUUGGUGAUUAAAGUUGACAGGCUGUUGAGCAAGUCACUCAGUGAUUCCCACCACUCAGUAGACAGUUCCCAGUGCUUGCUAAAAUGUUAGUUUGAAUUUAUGAAAAGGAAACCAAUCCAUUUCACCUCCAGGGAGGGUAGAAAGCUCAGAACUCAUCCUUGCCUUUAUUUGUAAACAGCAUUCACAUGCUCCUUCCUUAAGCAGAUUCAAACUAUUCAUUAUUUACUUUAGCCCAUAAAAGAUCCUCCUAAUGCUCUCUCUUAUGGGUUGAAUUUGGUAAUGCAUUUGGGAAGGAGAAUUGAGCUCUCCUGCCUCUGAGUUGAUAAAACAACAAACCUCACAUGACAUUUCUGAGCUUAUGGAUAUUUAAGAAAGAUAAUGGUUCUUUGCAUUUACAUAGAAGGAUCUCAAAAAUUAAAAGAGGUGGGCAUUAUUACUAUCACUUUAUAGGUGGGGAAACUGACGCAUGGAGUUUAAGGACCUGAUCCAGUGGGAGUCAUUACAUUGAUGUCAAUGGGCAAUAGAUCAGGCCCUAGAAAAAUACUUAAAAAGUCUUCAGGCCCCAAUCCAGCAAAGCGCUUAAACAUGUGAGUAGCCCAAAGAGUGGGACUUAUCCUCAGUUGGUGUAAAUGUGAAGCUAUGACAGUGUACAGAAGCCGAGGAGCUGCUGCCAUGUCUGUAAGUGCUUUGCUGGCAGAUGGGGUCUGUGACUCAGUGGUAUAGCUGGAAACAGAACACAGGAGUCAUGGCUCUUCAUUCAUUGUUCUAACCACUGGACAACUCUGCCUCCCAGUUUGACUCUCUACAAGUUAAUAUGUCUCUCUGUAUCUGGGGAGGAGGAAAGCCUUUUAAAGAGAUUUGUGCACGAUAGAUUAAUUGUCUCAUCUCAAGCAGAUAUAAAGCAUCCACCCAUAGGGAGUUACUUCAAAAACAUUUGUGGUUGUGUUUCCCUUCAUCAUUCUCUUUCAUCUGCUCUUGGUGAAGAGCAGCCAUUCCAGGUUAUCUUGAUCUUCCGUGGCUCUUUAGGAUAAAGAUAAAAGGAGAGAUUCUGCAGCAAGUUGUUACCAUGUGUCCUCCCUCCCCACUUCCACUCCCACUCCCAUAACAAGGAAAACAGCUUGAUUUACUUCACUUAUUACUGGAAAAAAUAUUCUCCCCUCUUUCCCAUUAAUCAUAGACCCAAAAGUGUCUUUUGUAUUUUUGAAGCUAGGGGGCAAUGUUUUACCUUCUUGUCCAGCCUUGUGGCUUCCAAGCCCUUGGCAUGCUAUGGAAAUAAAUCUGACAUUAAAAUAUUUCAUUUGGGAUCUCCGGUUACUGAUUUAUUACUGGUGCGAUGUAGCAAGUGAAUAUUUCUUGCAAGUAUUCUCAGCUCAUAUAAUGAAUCCCACACACUCCAUGCUAGAAAAAUAAGGAUCCACUUAGGAUUUUUUUUUAUCCAGUAAACUUUAUUUAUAUAUAACAACAGUACAAAGUGAGUCCUUGGCUUGCAAAAUAGGAGUGUUUCAUAUUUACAAUAGGUACACAAUCAUAUAUUAGAAUAACAAAAAACCUUUUUUCCUUGGAACAUUUUUAAAUACUUAAACUUUCUUACAUUUUUUUCCACAACACUUGUAAAAACAACAAAAACCAGACAACCAUCUUUUAAAAAAAAAUAUAGUACAGAACUCCAGUGUGUUAAAUAUAAGUGGAAGAGGGGAAAAGCUAGGGAAAGGUUAUGGUUGUGUGGGGGUGGGCAAAGUAUGCAGUUCAAUUUAUUAUCCGUGACAGUUUGCCUUGUAACUGGUAUGCAUUUAUUUUUAAGGGAUGGGUCAAACAAAAUAAAAAGCCCUUCCACCCCCAGCAAAUCUUUAUCCAAAAACUCAAGCCUAUCCUUUUCUGAGGUUCAAGAAAGUUUGGUUCCCAUGCCCUGCUCACCCCCUAAACCCAUUUUCCAUAUCAGUGUCUUUGCAGAAGGAGCCAUUAACAAAUGAGCACUCUCCAUGGUACCAUAGGGGGAUCUUGCUGUAGUACAUUUUGAGUAUAAGAAAUAGCAUGGCACAGUCACUAUUAUGGUACGAUGCUUAUUUACUUUUUGAUGGCUUCCCCGAUAUGCACAUCCAUGUACUGUCUGAGAUUGGAAAUGACAAAAAUAUGACAGGAGAGACUGUUUUCAUCAUUUCCCCAGCCCAUCUGCAGCAGGAAGUGCUAGAAAUCUCAGAAGAAAGCCUGCUCAGGAGAUUUCUGCUUUGAUUUUGCAGACCUAAGAGGCCUGGAGAGUUCAGAGAAGUGUCCCAAUUUCUGGGUGCUUUAUUGGAACCUGCCAAUCUGAGAUAUUUGCCCAUUGCGGAGGGGGAGGGGGGAGAAGGGGAAGACUUUUUACACGGGGGGGGGCGGAAGGCUGGAUAACACAAAGGCAAAUGGGAAUGUUUAGACUGAAAAAGAUAAACACAGAGACAACUUCAGUGUUAACAACAGUCAAAACAAAUGGUGUCAUUUGAAUUGUGGCCUGAUUUGUUUCAUGUAAAGCCCCCAAAGUGAUGAGUCUCAGACAGCCACGCAAGGUGAGGAGCUGCUUGUUUAGCAAUUUGCUCCAGUCUGCGUUUGUUACUAACCGAGGCAGAACACAUGAUACUCAGGUGCAUUAGCCACUCACCUACUGCUGAUGCAGCAGAAAGAUACGCACGUGCAAUGGAACCUUGACCUGCUGAAGGAAAACCCUCUUUCUGAAGAUUAUUCCCAAGUUGUCCUCACAAUGUCCCCCCAAAUCUGAGCCAUUGCCAGCUGGUACAAUAAAACAUUGAGGGGAUCACAAAGGAUUGUAGAGAGCUUACGAAAGCUUGGUAUAAGAUGUUUCUCCUUAACAUAAUUGAGAAGCAAUGCUCACCAUCUAUUUCUAUACUAUUUGGCUUGUCACAUUGCCUUGAACUAGAACAAGAGCAUUGGAAAGGGGGGAUUUUUGAGAGGCAAGAAAAAAAAUCAAGGUCUUUCUUUCAAAUGGGAGCCUUUUAUGAAGGUGAGAGGUAACCAUGUCCUUUGCAGAAGGGAGUUCCUUGCACUGUCACUUACUAGAAAUUGAACAGUGAUGUUUCCCUUCUGUGAAGCCUUUUAAACAGAGAGAAAAAUGUUCAAAGCCUUCACAGUUUUAAAAACAUCCCCUCUUUUAAAACUAGCCUGACCGGCCUAAAUUUAGAUUUUGCAUUUUGGGUUAUUCAGCCCAGUGGCUUCCGAAUAGAGUUGCCUUUAGAAACUUCAGUGCAAAGCUUUACAUUUUUAACUCGAAUGAUUCCCCCAACAAGUAUCUAAUCUAAAAAAAUCUGCCCCUGUCCACAUUAACAUUGCGGGGCCCUUUUGCUACCACAUACAUUAGCUCUGCGCCUCUCACAUGCUGAUUCUGACAAGCCUGGGACAAAGGGUUAAAGUCUGAAGGGUACUUAGGGUGGUACUUUCACUGAAGACACAUUCAAUAUACAGAUCAGACUGUUCACCAAGCUUUAUCUAGCAAGUAACUAUAUACAACAUCACAGCUCUCUGUAUUAUUGGCUUAAGGUUUAUGGUACAAUGGAAUACUGAAAUAUGAGGACUGAAGCUUUGCUGUAUUUUUAAUGCAUCUUUGAUGUUGGUUAUUUAUUCUCUGAACGUUUUUUAUGUCUUUUCUCCAGAAUGCAGUCACUAUUGAGUUUCCCCCGGAUGUCCCAGCUCAUUCAAGUCAUUCUGUUUUUGUUUCAUUUAGACUGCUGAACUGAGUCCUCCUGACAGGCGAAUGCUGAGAGCACUGGAAACUGAAAGGAGAACUGCCAGCGACGGUGAAAACACAACCCUGCUGCUGCUGCUGUUAAUGGGAAACGCUCUAGCUGCAGGCUAAAAAAAUAAUCAGUGUGACGGGAAUAAUUCUUAAGGAUGUUUUACCCCUUGUCAAGUUCCUGAAAUUGGGAAGGCAUCCGAGCAGCACACAGACCAACUUCCCUUCACCUCUUUUGGAGUUGUGGGCACUCAGCUUUUCUGGCAAAUCAGACUCUUUAUGUGCAUCUCAUGUAUGGCAACAGAAAUGGAGGUAUCCCAAACCAGUAGCUACUGCUGAAAACUUGGACCUAAAUGACAUGUCCAACGUCACUCUGUGAGUCAGCAACAGGCAAGAACAAGGCUCUCUAUUCUAAUCCUUAUACAAACAUUCUCAGCCAAAUUGUUACAUGUAUAGAAUGCAGUGAGACUUUUGGUAAAAAUCCAUUUAAAAUGUUUAUUAGCAAUAGAAUAUAUUCUUUAAGUGGAGUUGUGUAGUCUGGGUAUUUAGACUGCACAGGACAGGCGUUGCACACUGGGGAGAGGAAGGAUUCCAUCUGCAUAGGAGGAGAAUGGCUGUAUGCAAGGUCCCUUUUAUGCCAGAGCACCAGGAAAAGAUUUGCAUCCUAAACAUAGUCGCACACAUUUCCAUUUUCUCCCUCUGCCUACAAUGUUUCCCACUAGCAGCAGGGCUGUGGCUAUUUUAUUUAAAAUGCUUGUUUGUCAUAACAAUUCUUAAUGUAGCUACAGGGAAUUCUUAAUAUAGCUGGAUGCUACAAAGGCUUCAGCAGUUUUCCUGUUCUGAUUUCUCCUGUUUCACUUUAAGCACUGGGAGAUCUCCUUACCCACUCUCUAUAGGAAGAAGCAGGCAACAUGCCCUCCACAUCUUUCUGUCAUAGCAUUUUGGUGCUAAGGAGCAAGGUCCCAACAGAGGCAAGCCUGCUGAUAAGCUGGGACUCUUGUAUAGAGUUUUUUUAAUAAAGGCUUUCAAAGUGAAAAGGCAUUUGGUUAGCACUUUGCUACCCCUUGGAGUGGGCUCUUUGAUAGCUCAGGCUACUGCUCACGAGCAGAAGAUUAAAUGGAAUUAUUUAAACAGUAGCACCAGACACAGAAAUUCCAGAAAUGCCAUCUUCUGCUCUGAUGUCAAAACCCUUGAAACAAAGCAGGCUAGAGACUCCUAACACCAAACCAAGUUUGGCCCUGUGCAGGGAGGGAAGCACUGAAAUGGAUGUGGAAUCAUUUCAUCUAAGGCAAAAUCAGUGCCUCCCCACCAAACAAACCUGGAGUCAGGUUUGUCUGCAGUACAAAGAAAAUACCAUUGUGAGGUCUGAAGCUUUACCCACAAAGGAGCUGAGAAACGGGCAAAGAGUGCCAGGGCCUUGCCCUAAAGGGACAGGCUGUUUCAUACCACAAACUUCCUUUAAACUUCCAUUAUAGCGAAUGUACUAUAGUACACUCUCUCCAUUUCAGGGAUGGCGAAAGAAUCAUAGAGAGAUGACACAACUAGCUCGGGAUCACACAGCACACUCUGCCUCUCUGCAAGGAGACUUAAGACUGGGCAUUUUCAAGUCUGGUUUUGAUUCCAUUAAAUAAACUCUGGUAGCUAUUUUGCUGCAACCACCACGACUCAUAUGGUCGAUACUUCUAUUUCCAUUAGGUCUAAUCACCUCAUCCUCCCCCACUGUAGUCUGCAAAAAUAUCAAUAUUUAUUAGAGAGAGAAAUAUUUACAGCAUUCCAUCCACCUCUUGGCACUCUUUAAAGGGACAGGAAAGCUUUGGUUUCUUUUAAAGGAAUAGCACUCACAAACAUUUGCCUUUUGCUGUUCUUGAAAAGAUGGGCUGCUAUGGCCAGUUCGAAACUGAACCUAACAAUGAGAUACAGAGACAAAGAUGACAAUGUUGGCUAACACUUGAAGUGCGUCGAUUUGGACUUUCUCUCGCCUUGAGUAAAGAUUCUCCCUCUCCCCAACAGAAAUAAAAGUCCUAUGCUUCACCUUCGGGUGACCUUGCAUGUGCCAAGGGAAAAAUGUAAUUGGAGUCUGUCCUGAUCUUAUGCGUAAGUAUGAGUGUGUCUCAAACAGAAAAGCAAUAAAUAUGUUAUCUCACUAUGUCUACGCUUUUCAAGUAUCACUUGCUGUAAACAUUGUUUUUAGUUUUUGUUUUUUUUUCCUACAAGAAAUUACAUCGUGGCUGGAACAAAAUAACACUAGUCAACUAACAGCCCAAGCAACUAAGUAAGUCUCAGCCCAGCUCUGCUUGACUGUACAAGAUCAGCCAAUUGGUUUUUCUUAAAUUGCACCUGUAGAAACCUACAAUGCACCAAUUUCAGUUUAAACUGUAUAUGACUUCCUUAGUUUCAAUGCCAUGGAGGGCAGAACAUUCUUCAGGAACACGAGUGAAGCAAACAAAAAUACCGUAGAAUCUUUACACCUGGGUGGAGCUGUGUGUUGAAAUGGAAUGGAAAUAAAAGAGAAAAAUGUUUAAAAUCAGACCCACCAUCAUUCAACAGUAAGUGGGAUUUAAAAAAUAUAUAUAUAAUAUAUAUAUAUAUAUAUAUUGACACUAUAUAAAUACAUAGAUAAAGCUGGAUUUCAAGACAAACAGGUUAGAUGAUCUGAUGGUUCUGUAAUUCAGGUAAAGUUCUUUCUGGUGCCACUGGAUUUAUUUCCAGCUAAACUAUUAUCU